CAGUUGCAGUUUCUCGAUAGCCUCCUCAGACACUACAUUCUCACAACUGCCACUAUCAAUUAUCAGCUUACAGACUUUAUCAUCAACUGUGCAGGUUGUGUGGAAAAUGUUGGUCCUCAACCAAUCAUCCCCUGAGUCGCCCUUGGGAGUCAGCAGGCUCUUUCGAACGACCAGGGUCUCCUGACCAUCUCCAUAUAGCACGUCCUCAUCUUCACCCUCAUCAUACACGGGUUCCCCAACUUCCUCGAACUCCUCUAUCAUAUCCUCCUCAAUCAGAAGAUUUUUAUUCUUCUGACCAGCAGGCUUCCUGCAAUCAGUCGCCCUAUGCCCCUGUUCACCACACCUAAAGCACUUAAUACUUGAGCUGGAACUAUCCCGCUGUGGCUGAUAAGCAGGACGAGAUUCUUGAGGGCGAACUGGCUGACUUCCUUCACCUCUGACCACUGGCCUCCUACUUUGCUGUUUCUCUACUGCAAGUGCUCGCUGAUAUGCCUUAGAAACUGUCCAC
rnacentral:lncRNA from 1 species